GAUGGAAGAACGCAGCGAAAUGCGAUACUUGGUGUGAAUUGCAGAAUCCCGUGAACCAUCGAGUCUUUGAACGCAAGUUGCGCCCGAAGCCAUUAGGCCGAGGGCACGCCUGCCUGGGCGUCACACGUCGUUGCCCCCCCAUCUACUCCUUCGGGAUUGCGGGGGGCGGAUGAUGGCCUCUCGUGCGCCUCGUCGCGCGGUUGGCCUAAAUGCCAAGUCCUCGGCGACGCACGCCACGACAAUCGGUGGUUGCGAAACCUCGGUUGCCUGUCGUGUGCGGUCGUCGCGCAUCGAGGGCUCGAAAAAAUUGCCGGGCUUCGGCUCGACUUUCAACGCGACCCCAGGUCAGGCGGGGUUACCCGCUGAAUUUAAGCAUAUCAAUAAGCGGAGGA
rnacentral:misc_RNA from 1 species